rnacentral:rRNA from 1 species
AGAGUUUGAUCCUGGCUCAGAAUCAACGCUGGCGGCGUGCCUCAGACAUGCAAGUCGAACGAUUAAAGCUCUCUUCGGAGAGUGUAUAGAGUGGCGCACGGGUGAGUAACACGUAAGUAAUCUACCUUUGAGUGGGGAAUAACGUCCGGAAACGGACGCUAAUACCGCAUAAUGCAGCGGCAUCGCAAGAUGACAGUUGUUAAAGAUUUAUCGCUUGAAGAGGAGCUUGCGGCAGAUUAGCUAGUUGGUAAGGUAAUGGCUUACCAAGGCUACGAUCUGUAACCGGUCUAAGAGGACGGUCGGUCACACUGACACUGAAUAACGGGUCAGACUCCUACGGGAGGCAGCAGUCGGGAAUUUUGGGCAAUGGGCGAAAGCCUGACCCAGCAACGCCGCGUGAAGGAUGAAGUAUUUCGGUAUGUAAACUUCGAAAGAAUGGGAAGAAUAAAUGACGGUACCAUUUAUAAGGUCCGGCUAACUACGUGCCAGCAGCCGCGGUAAUACGUAGGGACCAAGCGUUGUUCGGAUUUACUGGGCGUAAAGGGCGCGUAGGCGGCCCUACAAGUCACUUGUGAAAUCUCCGGGCUUAACUCGGAAUGGCCAAGUGAAACUGUAAGGCUAGAGUGCAGAAGGGGCAAUCGGAAUUCUUGGUGUAGCGGUGAAAUGCGUAGAUAUCAAGAGGAACACCUGAGGUGAAGACGGGUUGCUGGGCUGACACUGACGCUGAGGCGCGAAAGCCAGGGGAGCAAACGGGAUUAGAUACCCCGGUAGUCCUGGCCCUAAACGAUGAAUACUUGGUG